GUCCAGGGUAGCCUAGUGGACAUGGCACCUGCCCGGUAAGCAGAAGGUUGUGGGUUCGAUUCCCGCCCUGAACA